rnacentral:rRNA from 1 species
UGGGGAAUAUUGCACAAUGGGGGAAACCCUGAUGCAGCGACGCCGCGUGAACGAAGAAGGUAUUCGUAUCGUAAAGUUCUGUCCUAUGGGAAGAUAAUGACAGUACCAUAGAAGAAAGCUCCGGCUAAAUACGUGCCAGCAUCCGCGGUAAUACGUAUGGAGCGAGCGUUGUCCGGUAUUAUUGGGCGUAAAGGGUACUCAGGCGGUUUAAUAAGUCGAAUGAUAAAGAUCGGGGCCCAACCCCGCAAAGCAUUGGAAACUGAUAAACUUGAGUAGUGGAUAGGAGAGUGGAAUUCCUAGUGUAGUGGUGAAAUACGUAGAUAUUAGGAGGAAUACCAGUGGCGAAGGCGAAUUUCUGGACACCAACUGACGAUGAGGUACGAAAGCGUGGGGAUCAAACAGG